UUACACCUGAUCCCAUCCCGAACUCAGAAGUUAAGCCUUCCAGUACCGAUGAUACUUGGGCCGCAUCAAGCCCUGGGAAAGUAGGUCAGCGCCAGAA
rnacentral:rRNA from 1 species